rnacentral:rRNA from 1 species
UGCAGUCGGACGGUAGCACAGAGGAGCUUGCUCCUCGGGUGACGAGUGGCGGACGGGUGAGUAAUGUCUGGGGAUCUGCCCGAUAGAGGGGGAUAACCACUGGAAACGGUGGCUAAUACCGCAUAACGUCGCAAGACCAAAGAGGGGGACCUUCGGGCCUCUCACUAUCGGAUGAACCCAGAUGGGAUUAGCUAGUAGGCGGGGUAACGGCCCACCUAGGCGACGAUCCCUAGCUGGUCUGAGAGGAUGACCAGCCACACUGGAACUGAGACACGGUCCAGACUCCUACGGGAGGCAGCAGUGGGGAAUAUUGCACAAUGGGCGCAAGCCUGAUGCAGCCAUGCCGCGUGUAUGAAGAAGGCCUUCGGGUUGUAAAGUACUUUCAGCGGGGAGGAAGGCGAUGUGGUUAAUAACCGCAUUGAUUGACGUUACCCGCAGAAGAAGCACCGGCUAACUCCGUGCCAGCAGCCGCGGUAAUACGGAGGGUGCAAGCGUUAAUCGGAAUUACUGGGCGUAAAGCGCACGCAGGCGGUCUGUUAAGUCAGAUGUGAAAUCCCCGGGCUUAACCUGGGAACUGCAUUUGAAACUGGCAGGCUUGAGUCUCGUAGAGGGGGGUAGAAUUCCAGGUGUAGCGGUGAAAUGCGUAGAGAUCUGGAGGAAUACCGGUGGCGAAGGCGGCCCCCUGGACGAAGACUGACGCUCAGGUGCGAAAGCGUGGGGAGCAAACAGGAUUAGAUACCCUGGUAGUCCACGCCGUAAACGAUGUCGACUUGGAGGUUGUUCCCUUGAGGAGUGGCUUCCGGAGCUAACGCGUUAAGUCGACCGCCUGGGGAGUACGGCCGCAAGGUUAAAACUCAAAUGAAUUGACGGGGGCCCGCACAAGCGGUGGAGCAUGUGGUUUAAUUCGAUGCAACGCGAAGAACCUUACCUACUCUUGACAUCCAGAGAACUUAGCAGAGAUGCUUUAGUGCCUUCGGGAACUGUGAGACAGGUGCUGCAUGGCUGUCGUCAGCUCGUGUUGUGAAAUGUUGGGUUAAGUCCCGCAACGAGCGCAACCCUUAUCCUUUGUUGCCAGCGAUUCGGUCGGGAACUCAAAGGAGACUGCCGGUGAUAAACCGGAGGAAGGUGGGGGAUGACGUCAAGUCAUCAUGGCCCUUACGAGUAGGGCUACACACGUGCUACAAUGGCGCAUACAAAGAGAAGCGACCUCGCGAGAGCAAGCGGACCUCAUAAAGUGCGUCGUAGUCCGGAUCGGAGUCUGCAACUCGACUCCGUGAAGUCGGAAUCGCUAGUAAUCGUGGAUCAGAAUGCCACGGUGAAUACGUUCCCGGGCCUUGUACACACCGCCCGUCACACCAUGGGAGUGGGUUGCAAAAGAAGUAGGUAGCUUAACCUUCGGGAGGGCGCUA